rnacentral:lncRNA from 1 species
UAUAAAUGAAGCUGGACGUGAAUAGCUGAGCAGUGCCGCUGUGAUGGCUGAUGCGUGGAGUGAUGGGGCUGCAGACACGUGCUGCCAGUGAGCAUAGAGGUGUCACCUGUCAAGUGAGAGCUUCACUGGGCUCAGUGGUGGAGAGCCCACCUGGGGGCUUCAGAGCUCACCCGAGAGCUUUCUGGAUGGCUGGGAGGCAAUAGAUGUGUUCUCCCAACAGGAGUUUCUGUUUCGCUGUAUCCUUCCUUUUCUAACGCAAAGCUCUUGCUUCUGCUGAAUCUAUGAAAUUUUUUGGACUGAAUUUCCAGUAUUAACCCUGCAAAGAGCUGGUGUUUGUUCAUGUUAAACCAGAAGCCCUCUUUACUGCUCAUGGACUAAAAUUCCCCUGGAUUUUUGAUUCUCUUCAUUUCUCUAUUGUUCUCUCUGUUGGACUGACCCUUCUGCUCGCUCCAUUCAGUGUACUUGUUUUUCAGCAGCUGCCUGGAAAUGUUCACAGAGAACCCACAAAUAACCUCAGUGCAUCAAAUAACACUUCUACGGGCUAUUUGAGAAAUAAAUCAGAAGUAAAACAAUCAAGAGGUGGCAAUUAAUAAAACAUAAACAAUUAUCUUCCUCCUAAAUGGGUUUUGUUACGCUUUUAGAAAGUGAAAAACAUGGGGGCCUUUGCUCUAACCACAUAUCUGAUGUGCUGGGUUAUGUUGUAUACGUAGUCAGACUGCUGUCCUUGCUGUUGCAGUGGAAUUCAUUCUGGUUGCCUGUCAAGGAAGAAAAAGCUACAAUUACUUUCCAACUGCUGCAAGUGUCCUGAUCUGUAUGCGUAAGAGAGAGUCCCAUAUAAGCAGGGGCCAAAUGAAGGACUCAAGUACUGCUCUGGUACAUGGCUCAUGCAGGAUUUGCAGCCUUUGCUGUAAAGAAUUUAUGCUCUAAAAGAAGGGAAAGAAGGAAGGAGAAACAACCUGGCUUGCCUGUGGCUGACAAACUGGCAUUCAGCAGGAGGAGGAGUAAUUCAAUCAGAGGGCUUGACACCGUGGCUCCCGAGGGGACAGCUGGGAAAACAACUGUCACCUCCAGCGGGGUGACAGAAAUAGUUUGGUGUGAGAAGUUGAAAGGGACGAACGUCCCCUGUUUGGCCACGCAUGGUGGGAUGCUCCUUGGUUUCCUUGGGACCGUGGCUGGUUUAACAGCAUCUUUCUUGCUGGGAAGUCAACCUCCUGCCACUGAUGGUCACACAGAAAUGUCAGCACGUUGCAAUGGUCCUGAAGUCAGCAUAUUUGGAUAA